ACUGACCCUUUUGCUUGUAUUUGACGAUUCUUCUGGAUAAACCCUUUCUAUACUGCGAACCUGGUCUGGUCUCCUCUUUGGUCCUUACUAUUACUGUGCCUUCGGGCCCGUUACAGACAGCAGCUUGAGUGACCAGUAGCUCAUUGAAAGAUAUCUGAAGGCAGAUUCAAGUCUGAAUGAGAGCAACAUCAACGAGCAUAUACGUGCUGCCAUAAGAGUGAGUGAGCUGCAGAGGUCAUGGGCCGAACCUUCACACUCAAGAGAGGGAGAACAUCCAACACAACAAAGCAAUCCAUCAAUAAAAGAAUUAUCGUACAAAUACAUAGAGGACAAAUUUCCAGUGGGCCCUGACACCAAUGGCCCAACACUGAAACAAUGCCAGGCAGUUUCAGAAUUACAUGGGAGAUACUGCUACGACAGAUGGAGGAGGCAGCAGAAACAGAUCCGUAUGGAUGUCAUCAUCGCACAUUACAAGCAUGAAAAGCCAACCCCCAGCCAAGUCCAGAGCUACCUGAAUUGGCAAGGGUGGCUUAAACAAGUCCCAACCGUGGAGGACAUCCUGCUGUAUUGGAAGGCCAGUGAAAAGCCGAAAAUUGAUGCCACAGACAGAAGAAUACAACAUCUUACCAACACUCAGCAGUGGCCAGGAUUGGCUGUUGUAGAUGAUCCAGUCAAAGGAGAAAAAGUUGCGACUCUCCAGGACUUUUAAAAAGGUGACUACAUUUGUGACUACCAUGGGCCGGUCAUUUCUGCAAAGGAAGGGGAUCGGCUGAUGAGGUCGAUGGAGCAGAAUGAAAUGGGAUACUUAUAUUUCUUCUUGGACAGAGGGAAUAAAAGACUCUGUAUCUAUGCCCAGAAUGUCCAUUGCUCCUGUCAGAGUGACCUACCGACAACUUACGGGAGGAAAAUUAACCAUUCCCGUAAAAGGCCAAACCUCAGACCCACCAGUCAAAUAUUUCUCAAAUGACGACAGACCGUACAUAUUGUUUUCUGCAAACGAGGACAUUGAUGCUGGAACAGAACUCCUGUUCGAUUACGGAGUCACAAGAAAGUCAUUCUCUGGUGAGGGGGCAGAUCUUCCCUGGAUUGAUGAGUAGAUCCUCUGAAGUUAAAACUUUGUACAUGUGCACGAACUUUGGCAUGCAGGACUUUGCACUUUUGGCACAUCAUUCAAGUAUCUAAACAGACUUAACACUCUUUACAACAGUUCCAUUCCUAAGUAACACUCAUCUUUACAGUGAAAUUUUAAAACUGAACUAUUUAUUUGUUGCUAAAAUAAUUAUUUGUUUACAGUUUAAUUUUCAUGGAAUACAUUUUGAUUAUAUUUUUAACUUUUUGGAGCAUGGGUAUAUGUGUCUAUUAAAUAUUUAUGUAAAUACCUAUGUCUUCUUAUUCUCAGUAGAUAGAUGCCUACACAGGGCACUUGGUAAAGGUCUUGGCAUGUCCAGCACAGAGAGGCCAAGUACUUAGUUAGGGCCUUAACUUGUUGGAAAUACUAGGACCAAAAGAAGCAGUGGAUGGAAGGGCCUAUUGGAGCACUGUAAGAGAGGACAUGUUUAAGUGCAUAUUCACCAUGUUCCUUUUGAGUUAGCAGAGUUGAAAGACUCUAUACCAUUCCCUGUGUGCCUGUGAAUGGCUCAUUAAAUCAGUUAUAGUUACUUUGAUUGCUCCAUCUGUUACUUGGAUAACUGUGGUAAUUCUAGAGCUAAUACAUGCCAAAGAGUGCUGACCCCCAGGGAUGCAUGCAUUUAUCAGACCAAAACCAAUCCGGUGGCCCCUGCGCCCCGGCGCUUUGGUGACUCUAGAUAGCCUCGGGCCGAUCGCACGUCCCCGUGAUCGCGACGAUACAUUCGGAUGUCUGCCCUAUCAACUUUCGAUGGUACUUUCUGCGCCUACCAUGGUGACCACGGGUAACGGGGAAUCAGGGUUCAAUUCCAGAGAGGGAGCCUGAGAAACGGCUACCACAUCCAAGGAAGGCAGCAGGCGUGGAAAUUACCCACUCUCGACGAGGGGAGGUAGUGACGAAAAAUAACAAUACAGGACUCUUUCGAGGCCCUGUAAUUGGAAUGAGUACACUUUAAAUCCUUUAACAAGGAUCUAUUGUAGGGCAAGUCUGGUGCCAGCAGCCGCGGUGUGAGGUUGUGUCUGCAGUGUGCUCUUUCUGGCCUAUUUUUGACAGAGCGGUGGAAUGAGCCUGAGUAGCCCAGGAGGGGGGGUACCUCCUCGGGGUGCGAGCUUGGGGAGGCCCCCAGAAGAUAUGCCUGGGGCCUUGGCUGGAGGCCUGGAGGAGGAUUUGCCUUCAUCUGAGGCAUUGGUUGAAACUAGCAAAAGGGCCCAUUUUCCAUCUAAGGGGCCUAUGGAUUCCAUU